rnacentral:lncRNA from 15 species
AUGAGGCCAGGAGUCACGUGGAAGCAAUCCAGACAUGCUGAACGCCGUUGUAAGACCGGUCUCACCUCACACCCUCAUGUAGAGGGGACCUUUGCUCCAGAGACUGCUUCACACACAGAUUCUGCUGAAUGUCUUUUGCAAGAUCUGCAACCCUCCCUGAGCUGCUCUGAUGAAGAGCUUAGUGAAGCAUCAGCAGACCAAAGAGCUCCUCUGGCUUCUCUGGAUUGGAGCAUUCGCAAUGCUCUCUUUUCUGAGAGAUGGAGGGAAAAGAGACCAUAUCUUCUUAAUAGCAUGCUGGCCAAGGAGAGCGUGGCAACAAAUGGCUGCAGCCAAUGUGGGAACAACUGCGCAGCUAUUAGAUGCAGAGAUUGCCUUCCACGUCCCUUCUUCUGCGCUGAAUGUGACAUCAGCAGACACAGCAAGGCCUCAGUCCU